CGCAGAAGGAACACUGCCGCUGCGUUAAUACAACCAAAGCCUUUUCUGCCAUGGGUGCUGCUGUCACACCUCGGACGGGGUGUGCCGGCUGCUGUGUCCGCGGGGCCGGGGACUCCGCCCGGGACCCUCCUGCCCGCUCUGCUCAGAGAGGCCCCCCUGCACAGCCACAGGGCGGCCCGACGACCGUGCAGACUCUUGUUUCCUGUCUCCCUUUUGUCGCCAUCGCUGAACAAGUAGAAGUUCUGAAGCAAACGGAGUUGUGAGCUACUGUUCUAAAUUCAGCCAACGGCAAACGCUUCAUCACCAAGAGAUGCCAAACACACAUUCGUGAUUGAAUUCUCUUCCACAUAAGUGGCCCCGGGGCCCAGGUCAGGCCUAUUACUGCCCGCAUCGUCCUCCACCCGAAUGAAUGACCCCGUGAGUCGACUGCGUUACAGCUAAAUGAAGGGCUUUGGGAAACUGUCCGGCUCGGGGGUAGAGCAGCAAAUCCUAACUUAGGGCUCCCAGGUCCUCACUUGCAGUUUGGCACGAAUUCUAGUGAGUUUUUCUUUUACAAACUCACCGAAGAAAACUUCAAACACCAAACGUAAAUAUCUCCUAAGCACUUUUGUCGUGGGUUCAUUUUUAUGAUUUGAUUAAAUGCAAACGAAAGAUCUUCUAUCUUCUGAUUUAGCUUCCGACGCGCUCUCUUGCUGGUCAUUACGAAAGGAGAUUUCUCGAGUCUGUUUGGCCAGGUUCACACGCCCGUAUCGUUAGCAGACUAAUCGCAUCCCCAUGGGGUCCUGGUGUCUGCGGUUCCCUGUGCACCUUUCACAAGCCAACAGGCCUCCAUCUCAACCUACCUGGAUGUAGUUCCUUUUGGUCUGUGCACUGGGGAUAAAGCGGAAAAGAAGGGAGCUGCAGGUAAGGUCCUCCUGAGCCCAUGAUGCCACCUGACAUGAUAUACAUCCAGGGUUUUUGGCAGACACACCCCUAAAUAACGUGCACAGCCACGCACCCUGCUGACAUUUUAACUCACAUCUGCAAGGUUCCAUCGCAAUUUCAACUAAUUACAACAGAUGUACUUUCACUGCAACUGUUAAUAUUUAAAAAGCAAACCUGUUUCAGGAGUUCCCAUCAUGGCUCAGUGGUUAACGAGCCUGACUAGAAACCAUGAGGUUGUGGGUUCGAUCCCUGGUCUCGCUCAGUGGGUUAAGGAUCCGGCGUUGCUGUGAGCUGUGGUGUAGGUUGCACACAGAUGUGGCUCGGAUCCCGCAUGGCUGUGGCUCUGGUGUAGGCCGGCGGCGACAGCUCUGACUGGACCCCUAGCCUGGGAACCUCCAUAUGCCGCGGGUGCAGCCCUAGAAAAGGCAAAAAGACAAAAAAUGUAAACCUGUUUCAUCAUUUUAUAAGAUGGAGUAAAAGGAAU
rnacentral:lncRNA from 1 species